rnacentral:rRNA from 1 species
AGAGUUUGAUCAUGGCUCAGAACGUACGCUGGCGGCACGCCUAACACAUGCAAGUCGAACGAAGUAGCAAUACUUAGUGGCAGACGGGUGAGUAACAUGUAGGUAUCUGCCCUUUGGCCUGGAAUAACACGAGGAAACUUGUGCUAAUACCGGAUAAGUCUUUACGGAGAAAGCUUUAUGCACCAUUGGAUGAGCCUGCACUUGAUUAGUUUGUUGGUGGGGUAAUGGCCUACCAAGACUGUGAUCAAUAGCUGAUUUGAGAGGAUGAUCAGCCACAUUGGGACUGAGACACGGCCCAAACUCCUACGGGAGGCAGCAGUGGGGAAUCUUGCACAAUGGAGGAAACUCUGAUGCAGCGAUGCCGCGUGAGUGAAGAAGGCCCUUGGGUUGUAAAGCUCUUUCGUCGGGGAAGAAAAUGACUGUACCCGAAUAAGAAGGUCCGGCUAACUUCGUGCCAGCAGCCGCGGUAAUACGAAGGGACCUAGCGUAGUUCGGAAUUACUGGGCUUAAAGAGUUCGUAGGUGGUUGAAAAAGUUAGUGGUGAAAUCCCAGAGCUUAACUCUGGAACUGCCAUUAAAACUUUUCAGCUAGAGUAUGAUAGAGGAAAGCAGAAUUUCUAGUGUAGAGGUGAAAUUCGUAGAUAUUAGAAAGAAUACCAAUUGCGAAGGCAGCUUUCUGGAUCAUUACUGACACUGAGGAACGAAAGCAUGGGUAGCGAAGAGGAUUAGAUACCCUCGUAGUCCAUGCCGUAAACGAUGUGUGUUAGACGUUGGAAAUUUAUUUUCAGUGUCGCAGGGAAACCGAUAAACACACCGCCUGGGGAGUACGACCGCAAGGUUAAAACUCAAAUGAAUUGACGGGGACCCGCACAAGUAGUGGAGCAUGUGGUUUAAUUCGAAGAUACGCGCAGAACCUUACCAACACUUGACAUGUUCGUCGCGACUCUAAGAGAUUAGAGUCUUCGGUUCGGCCGGACGAAACACAGGUGCUGCAUGGCUGUCGUCAGCUCGUGUCGUGAGAUGUUGGGUUAAGUCCCGCAACGAGCGCAACCCUCACUUUUAGUUGCCAUCAUUAAGUUGGGCACUCUGAAAGAACUGCCAGUGAUAAGCUGGAGGAAGGUGGGGAUGACGUCAAGUCCUCAUGGCCCUUACGUGUUGGGCUACACACGUGCUACAAUGGUAUCUACAACAGGAAGCAAAACUGCGAGGUUUAGCAAAUCCCUAAAAGAUACCUCAGUUCGGAUUGCACUCUGCAACUCGAGUGCAUGAAGCUGGAAUUACUAGUAAUCGUGGAUCAGCGUGCCACGGUGAAUGCGUUCCCGGGUCUUGUACACACCGCCCGUCACACCAUGGGAGUUGGUUCUACCUUAAGGCAAGGUUUAAAACCCUUGACCACGGUAUAGUCAGCGACUGGGGUGAAGUCGUAACAAGGUAGCCGUAGGGGAACCUGCGGCUG